GAAGACCUUGUUCCUGUCCCCCACACCCUCCCCAGGCUUCACAAAGGAACGUAAAAGACAAGUACCAGGAAAAGAUGUAAUUUUAUGGAAGAAAAAAAGACGGAAACCAACAUGAUCCAAAUGAAAAUAAAGGAAGAAAUUCCCGAAGGACUUACUAUAAAGUGUAUCUCAGGAGAAAUCUGUGAAGAUGUAUUUUCUGGCUCUAUUCAACUGACUUCACCCAUCUUCCUUCCAGGGAGCUUGGAGAAGACUGAGAAGCACUUAGGGCAGUCUUGAUGCAAGAACCAAAGAAGCAACUAUUAAAGGAAGAGGAGGGAUAUUUGAACUGAAGUUUUGGAGAUAAAAUUGAAUGGAGACAGAGGCCAUUGAUAGAUUAAGGACUGUCUUUGAGCGAAAGAAUGAAAAUCCAGCUGGGCCCCACUACUAAGAAGGGAUCCCUCGGAGCUGAGCCUGGAAGACUGAGGUCAUUUGCAGCAGAAGGGCUGAAACAGGGGAGUGAACUGCAGAGACUGGAGAAAACCAACAGUAGCUCUUGGUGUGGAGAGAACAGACGCUGAAGCUCUGAGCCACGCCUUGCUGUCAGCCAGAAACCUAUGGAGUAUUCGUUGUUCCUGUGGACUUCUACUGAUGUACAAUUGUGUUGAAAAUAAGUUGUCCAAAUGAUGUGGUGGAAGUUCAGACAAAGGCUGUUUUGGUUCUGAAUGGUUCCAAGAGGCUGUCUUUGCCAACUUCCCUGUCUACCUUUGCUUCCAACAUGCUCUGUCACUGCGAGUGUCUGCCCACAGCCAGGAGGAAAGGAGAAGGAACUGCCCCUUCCUUCUGCCUUCUGUGGCCCUUCUGCCCCAGGAAAUGAACACAGGGAGCAAGAGGUGGUCAAGUUCCUGGAUUCUCCAGACUGAGGAAGUCUGAAAGAGCCUGAGGGGUAACUACACACACACCUGGCACAUUUGCUCCACUCCUUUGA